GCUUACGACCACACCGGCCUGAGUACGCCUGAUCUCUCCGGAAGCUAAGCAGGUCGGGCCUGGUUAGUACUUGGAUGGGAGACCGCCUGGGAAUACCAGGUGCUGUAAGCU
rnacentral:rRNA from 1 species